GACGAACGCUGGCGGCGUGCCUAAUACAUGCAAGUUGAGCGCUGAAGGUUGGUACUUGUACCAACUGGAUGAGCAGCGAACGGGUGAGUAACGCGUGGGGAAUCUGCCUUUGAGCGGGGGACAAAAUUUGGAAACGAAUGCUAAUACCGCAUAAAAACUUUAAACACAAGUUUUAAGUUUGAAAGAUGCAAUUGCAUCACUCAAAGAUGAUCCCGCGUUGUAUUAGCUAGUUGGUGAGGUAAAGGCUCACCAAGGCGAUGAUACAUAGCCGACCUGAGAGGGUGAUCGGCCACAUUGGGACUGGGACACGGCCCAAACUCCUACGGGAGGCAGCAGUAGGGAAUCUUCGGCAAUGGACGAAAGUCUGACCGAGCAACGCCGCGUGAGUGAAGAAGGUUUUCGGAUCGUAAAACUCUGUUGGUAGAGAAGAACGUUGGUGAGAGUGGAAAGCUCAUCAAGUGACGGUAACUACCCAGAAAGGGACGGCUAACUACGUG
rnacentral:rRNA from 1 species